UACGAAGGGGGCCUAGCGUUGCUCGGAAUCACUGGGCGUAAAGCGCACGUAGGCGGCUUUUUAAGUCAGGGGUGAAAUCCUGGAGCUCAACUCCAGAACUGCCUUUGAUACUGAGAAGCUUGAGUCCGGGAGAGGUGAGUGGAACUGCGAGUGUAGAGGUGAAAUUCGUAGAUAUUCGCAAGAACACCAGUGGCGAAGGCGGCUCACUGGCCCGGUACUGACGCUGAGGUGCGAAAGCGUGGGGAGCGAGUCCGG
rnacentral:rRNA from 1 species